UACGUAGGGGGCAAGCGUUGUCCGGAUUUAUUGGGCGUAAAGAGCGCGUAGGCGGUCUUUUAGGUCAGCUGUGAAAACUCGAGGCUCAACCUCGAGACGUCGGUUGAAACCGUAUGGCUAGAGUCCGGAAGAGGAGAGUGGAAUUCCCGGUGUAGCGGUGAAAUGCGCAGAUAUCAGGAGGAACACCGGUGGCGAAGGCGGUUCUCUGGGCCGUACCUGACGCUGAGGAGCGAAAGCGUGGGGAGCAAACAGG
rnacentral:rRNA from 1 species